rnacentral:rRNA from 1 species
UACGGGGGGGGCAAGCGUUGUUCGGAAUUACUGGGCGUAAAGGGUGCGUAGGCGGGUCUUUAAGUCAGGGGUGAAAUCCUGGAGCUCAACUCCAGAACUGCCUUUGAUACUGAAGAUCUUGAGUUCGGGAGAGGUGAGUGGAACUGCGAGUGUAGAGGUGAAAUUCGUAGAUAUUCGCAAGAACACCAGUGGCGAAGGCGGCUCACUGGCCCGAUACUGACGCUGAGGUACGAAAGCGUGGGGAGCAAACAGG